CAGGGAUAAUAAACAUUGAAUGAUGAUUACCACUUUUGCGUAGUCCGUUUAACUGUUCAUCUCUAGGUCGAUCGGUACCUCAAUAAUAAUAAAUCAUUAACUUUACUAUUAAUUUAGUGAAGUUAAUUUGGUUUAGAUGUUAUCUCGGUCCUUAAGCUUGUCUAGGUCACACCCAUGGCUGCUAGGCUAUGGACAAUGGGCCCGAAAGGGUUCCUGGGCCAUUAGCUCAGGUGGUUAGAGCGCACCCCUGAUAAGGGUGAGGUCCCUGGUUCAAGUCCAGGAUGGCCCAUUCAACAUCUAAAAAGGUGGUUGGGGGGUUUAGCUCAGCUGGUAGAGCGCCUGCUUUGCAAGCAGGAUGUCAGCGGUUCGAGUCCGCUAACCUCCAUGGAAAAGUGAUCUAGAAGGUAAUGGUGAAACCAGCCUCGUUUAAUUUUUAUAAUUUAAAGAUUAUAGAAUUUAAACGAUGCUGGGCUCAGCAAUGGGUUCAGCAAAGAACCUUGACAACUGCAUAGGUGAAUCUGUAAAUAAGCAUCUAACAGAUGAUACAGAGAGUAUUUAAUUUAAACGAAGGUUUAGGUUAAGUAUAAUUUGUAUCAAGCAAUUCUGUAGAAAGCCGAGAUCUAAUUAGUUACGGAAAUCUUUUUUUCACGAAGGGGAUGAAAGUAAUUAGUUAGGUAAAUAAAUG
rnacentral:tRNA from 1 species